CAUGCGUGGAACUCAGGGACUGUCCAGGGGUGCUGGGUGACCCGUGCGUGUUGUGUGUGUUGGGGCCGGAGCCUAGGAACUUUCGGGACAGGCUUGAACCCAGCAGGCCUCACAGAUGUGUGUGUAAAUGCGCACACACACACACACACACACACACACACACACACACACACAAAGCCUGCUCUGACCUUGCAGCGGGACCUGAGAUUCCACAUCUGGAUGCACGCCGUGCCACCUAGUUGGAGCAGGGGAUUGCAUUUGGGAGGAGAGGGUUAAAGCUAUGCCUUUGGGGGUGGAAGGUUGCCCAGCGGACACCCCCCUCUCACCCCCAAGCAACAACAAUCCCAGCUCCGAGGCGGCCUCCUGAGCGAGCGCUUACACAAUCAUAGCAUAAAGGUUAAGUGCUGGAGACCCAGUAUGCACGCAAGCCCAGCUCUGAGAAACGAGCAGAGAGGGUGGAAAUAGUGGUUUGAGACCCGAAGAAGUAUAGAAAAAGUAAAUAAAAGGCGCCGCCAUCAGCAGCCCACUUCCAGCCUUUGAUUGCUUAAAUUUUUCUCAUUGAGUGGGACAGGCAAUGCAUUAGUAUGCAGAAAGGAGAGACAGCGUGCAGGAAGGUGCUGUUAAUGAGCCCACCAGACUGCAGUCUGCAAGGGACACUUGGAGGAACAGAGAGGUGGCUACUGGGUGGUAAAAAGGACAGCUGCCAUGGCGGACAAUCUGAGUUUGAAUUACAGAGUAAACCUGGUAGGAGGAGAAAACCAAUUCCCAGAGGUUGUCUGUCCUCUGACCUCCACAUGCACACUGUGGCAUGCAACGGCUCCCAUCUAACCAAUAAAUAAAUAAAUAAAUACAUAAUUAAGACAAUUAAAGGCGCUGGAGCGAGGGCUCGGCAGUGAAGGGCACUUGUUGCUUUUGCAGAGGACCUGGUUUUGGUCCCCAGGACUUUCAUGGUGGCUACAACCAUCUAUAACUCCACUUCCAUUGGAUCCCCAUCCAAUGCCCUCCUUGGACCUCUGUGGGCUCCAGGCAUGCAUGUGGUGCACAGACAUGCAUGCAGGCAAAACACUCAGGCACAUAAAACAAACUUGAAAAAUCUAGUAGUAAUAAUAAUAAUAAAACAUGGAGCCCUUCACCAUUUCCACACUGCGAGCAUUAGCAAUCGCCUCUGUUUCCAGGCCAUAGCAAUAAGGUAUUCUCACACACUGACAGGCCGAUAGCUACACACAGCUUCCCUGAUUAGCAUUAACAGUAGGAGUCUUUUCUUCUUCUUCUUCUUCUUCUUCUUCUUCUUCUUCUUCUUCUUCUUCUUCUUCUUCUUCUU